rnacentral:lncRNA from 1 species
GGGGAAAUACACCAAACCCUAUUCCUGUAGCCAUUCUACAUCACCUUGUAUAUAUGCCAGGUGAGGCCCUCGGGACUAAGCUAAACAUAACACAGGUUCUUUACAACAUGGACUGGAGUCAGACAACAAUAGCAGGAUGCAGCAGUUAUUUAUUUACAUUUUUCAGCGUCAUAAAUCUCCAUAUAUCUCUAGCUCCAAGGAGAUGUGUACAACUCUCCUACAAGACAGACUCCAACUGGUAGAAAUAGCAGAUUUCUCACAGACAAAUAUCACUAGGUUGAUACGUUUAGUUCACAUACUCAAACAGACUAAAUAUCACUAGGUUGAUACGUUUCAUUCACAUACUCAAACAGACUAAAUAUCACUAG